ACAGCAGUAGCCGCGGGAAUACGUAUGUCACAAGCGUUAUCCGGAUUUAUUGGGCGUAAAGCGCGUCUAGGUGGUUAUGUAAGUCUGAUGUGAAAAUGCAGGGCUCAACUCUGUAUUGCGUUGGAAACUGUGUAACUAGAGUACUGGAGAGGUAAGCGGAACUACAAGUGUAGAGGUGAAAUUCGUAGAUAUUUGUAGGAAUGCCGAUGGGGAAGCCAGCUUACUGGACAGAUACUGACGCUGAAGCGCGAAAGCGUGGGUAGCAAACAGGAUUAGAGACCCCCGUAGUCCCUGUCUCUUAUACA
rnacentral:rRNA from 1 species